CACGGCCCGCGGCGUUUGCUCUCGUGUUACGACGACAGCUGGAAGCACUGAGAACUCGUUUCACUCCGCAGGCAGCUUUCCUUGUCAUGGUUGGCAUGCAGGGUGCUCAUAUGUUCUGGGGAUAUCAGUGGCAAGGGGCUGCCAUCAACUUCUGGUCUCAGUGGUGUUGGGAUGGAGCAGUCCAUGUGGAGCUCUGCCCUCGUGUGUGAGGGCCUAAGAAACAGACAUGGAGACUGCGUGGCGAGGAGCUGACUGAAAUGCCUGGUAGAGCCAGACUGGCAGAGAUCUACACCUCUGGUGGAAAGCACUCCAGCUCCCUCACUGGCACGAAGGGCACUGCCCGGCUUACGGUUUGCUGUUCGGUAACUUUGAGGAAGCCCAGGUGGUCACUGUGUACAUUCUUGCCAUCUGGAACAAAUCUCGAAUGCAGAAGGCAGGGCCUUGUUUGGCAAGCAUUUCUAAUUUGAUGUCACCAGCGAAACGACAGACACACACAAACACUCUUGUGCUGUUCCCUGUGAACACGGAGAGACUGACUGCAGGCCACAGUGGGAGCGGCCGGGACGGGGAAUGAAGAUGAAUAGGGAGCCAUGAGAGACACGUCCAGCUUCCCUCAGGUAGUGCAGGGUAGGGGAGAGGCUGAGACCGAGAGAGGGGAGGUAAAGGAGAGGAGAGGGAUAGAGGAAGGGAAGAAGGAAAGGGAGUGGGAGAGCAGGGAAGGGGGUGGAGAGGCGAGGAGGGGAGCACAGGGGAGGGAGGAACGAGAGCCAGCGUCAGUCACUCUUAGAAGUCCACAUAAGAUUGCUGCUACACGGCCAAGAAUAAGAUGGGCCUUCUAGACUUCACAGAGAACUGGACAGGACCCUACUCUAAACUCCGCCAGACCAGCACAAACCCACGAAUCUGGUGCUGGUAUCCGUUCUGUGUGCCUUCUCUAGGGAACAUGCUGCCCGCUACCCACACAUUGAUUUUCUUUAUAAUCUAGUAACAUUAUUAUUAGCUGAGCAAUCUCUAUAUAUGGGGUAAGUACUGCUUUGACCCCCAUUUUACAGAUGGGAUAACUGAUGCAGAGAGAGUUUAAGAAAUUUGGCUGAGGCCAUGCAGCUCAUAAGAGGUGGAGAGGGGUCUGGAGCUGAGCAGUCCGGUGCAGAGCGUCUCCUGAUCGGAGCAGAAACCAGGGCCCCCUGAGAGAGGCGAUGGGAGAGCACACCCCACCAGGCGGCAGGGAGGCAGGAGCCCGGCCCGCAGGCAGUGUGGCUGUGUGAGUGAGCGGCAGGCUGUGGAAGGCGAGGCGGCGGGGUGGCGGGUGCGCACCCUUUCUGCUCCAUGGUUUCUCCACUUGCAACCAAGCAGAGCGAGAAUAGAGAGAAAUAAAAUAUGUAACCCAAAGACAGGACUGUGUUUUAGGCCCUGCCCAGCGCUCUGCUGCUCGAUCCUGAAGCAGCAGGGAAGAAAGUCGGACGCUGCCAUGCACGAAGCUCUUUCCAUGCACAUCUCCUAUGCUGCUCCUCAAACCCGCAGGCCCUGGCGGUCUCUGCUUUAAUCGCGUGGCAAGCUCAGCAGCAGGGAGGCUCAGCAAGUCGGCGCGAUGCCGCCCUGGUGGCACUCGCACCCCUUCCCAGUUUUGUGUGAUCCCAAGUUCCAUUCAGAUUCCAUUCCAAUUUUAGGCCCACAGAGAGACAGGAACUUUGUGAGUCUAAAAUUCCUCAAUUAAAUCACACCGCUGGCAGCGGGCCUGCCAGUGCCAGUUCUCAGACUCCAGGAAGCUGGGGGCCGGCACCCCGCCGCCCGGCA